AUCUCACUUAGCUGAGUAACCGUAGUUACUCAGCUUGUUUGAGAUUCAGCUCCUUAUCUGUAAAAUACAGGUUAUAAGAAGUAUUUCCUUCAUUCGACAAAUAUAUAUUUGGCAUCAACUCUGUGUCAGGCUUGUGCUAGGCCCUGGGGAUGCAGUGGUGAGAUAAUACAGGCUCAGUUCCUGCUCUCAUGGACCUGACAGCAUUGGAGAUGAUGGAUGUGAAGGACUCAGCAUCGUGCCUGGUACAUGCUCUGGGCCCUGAAGACGCCAUGAGGAGCAUGGCUGAGUCCCUGCCUUUAUGGAGCUUACAGCCUAGGGAAGAAACCACCCAGAUGGCCGGGCGUUUCAGUACAAGGCAGUGGGCCCCAUCAUGGGGGACACACAGAAUUGCUGCCCCCAGUCUGAUUUCUCCACAACCCCCUCCAGGACGGGUGCCUGAACUGCCACAAGAGCAUCGGUGGAGACCCCAACCAGACAUUCCCCCUUCCACAUGGAUGUCUGUUUCUCGGGCCAGCUCCAGGUUCUCGGGGCUCCCUCUCCCUCUGGCUGCAUCCAACAUGAAGCAGGGGGAGGGUCAGCAUCCCAGCAGGGCCUGGCCACAUGUGUUGGAGCUGCCCUAGCCAAAUCUGAGGGUGACUGACCUUCCGAGAAAUGAGCACCCGGCCUAUUGUUCCACCAUGGGGUGCAAACUCCAGACAGGCAGAUGGAAGAGAUUCACCUUUCCAGAACUGCAUGCCGAGCCCUCCCAGCAGGCUGCGGCUGAGGCCCUGCCUAUUAAUAGUCAAGCAGCUGUUUGCCUCCCUGAAUGAGACUCUUUAUUGCAAGCUGCGUUGACAAAACAGAUCCCGCUCCUUCCUGCCCAGAAUAUUUGGGGGUGGAGGGGCCGCAGGGAGAUGUUCCUUCCUUCCAGGGAAGUUGAGAAGGUCAGCAGUGGAAAAGACCUUAACGGUGACCCCCCUCUCAGCACUCGGGAGACCAAAACCAAGCUCAUUACCACCACUUCCUUUGCCCUCACCCAUGUUCCUAGCUCCAGCCAGCAGACCACUGUUCCCCCAGGAUUUCCUCAAAUUCUCUCCCCUCCCUUGUCCCAGUCCCAAUCUAGAAGCCUCAGAGUCAAGACCUCAAGUGACUGCCCUCUGCUGACAUCCAGGCUCUCAUCUCCCAGACCCAUGCCCCUUCAGUCCACCGUGUCUUUGAAUCUCCAUGCUCUACCUCAGCUCCUGGUCUUUGCACACACCAUUUCUCCUGCCCUCUUCCCAUGUUUAAUGGUCCCUUAAGUCUUGGUUUAAAAAGAGACCACUUCAGGAAGACUUGUUUCCCCAUACCCAACUCAGCAUGCUUCAUGCUUUGCUUAAUCUUCCUCCUUGUCUGAAGUUCUAAGGGGUAGAGUGGGUGGUUUGUUUUUUGUUUUUUUUUUUCAUUGUAUUUCUCCACCACCCACCAGGACACUAUAUGACACUGAGUUGAAUAAAAAAAAAAGGAGGGGGGCAUGUGAAUUCUUCCUUCCCCUUUCUCCCCCAACAAUGUCACCCAUCACCAUACCCUGUUAAUUCAACCUGAUUGAGAACAAGAGAUCUGGACAUGGGCCACCUGGGUUUGAAUCAUGACUCUGCCGCUUAACAGUUGAGAGAACUUGGGUAAAUCUAACCUUGCCAAGCCUUCGUUUCCUCAUCUGUAAAAUGCAGCCAGCCAUAGGGCCUCAGAGUAAUUGUAAGAGGUCAAUGAGAAAAUGUUUGUAAAGUGCUGAACCCAGUGCCUACUACGUUCACCAAAUGUUGUUAGCUGCAAAAAUAACUGAACUCAAUGCUCCAUUCACCACAGAAUCUUUCCUCCCCUCAUUAACCACAGUCCAUGAUAGUGGGCUACAGCCCAUGGGGUUGCAAAGAGUCAGGCAUUACUGGGCGAGUAAUUGCAUAUGAUGGCUGGUAUUCCAUAGCACACACUUUGAGACAUGCCUGCCUAGGCUGACCCUCCUGCUGUUGAACAGGUGAAGGAUAUGAGGCCAGAAGGAGCACAAGAAAGAGCCAUGACCCUCAGGGUGAGACGCAGGGGUGUGUCUGCGUCUGUGUCUCAGCCUGCUCAGCCAAGUCCGUGGCC
ensembl:lncRNA